rnacentral:lncRNA from 1 species
CAUAGAUUCAAAGAACAAAGAAUUGCGAUUCAUUUAGAAUGGAAGAGGCCAACUACGUGAAUCCAAGGUUUAAAAUGAGACCUCAAACAGCGAAGCUAAAAUCAAUAGGCUCCAUAUUCAUGUUAAACUCGACGCAAUUUGAUACUAAUUCACUGAUCACGAAAGUGAAUCGUAUAGCAAUCCAAUAUGUCCAACAGAACAGAUCUAAAAAAAACCACAGACCUUUAAGCACGAAAAUGAAACAGAACAUAAGCAACGGAGGGAGAUCGAAUCUAACCAAAACCAAACUUGAUAGGGAAUAUGGAAAUGAACCUGGAUAUUCAGAAUUUCAAUUAACUUUGAUGUCGACAAGUUCUUACAGAAACGAAUGGAAUAGCGACAAGCGAAUCUGGAACCACGAGCUCGAACCGCGGACGGCAACCAGGACUUCAAACGAGCACCAUCGGAAUUCAAUCACACUCCAUGCUUAAAUCACAAUUGGAACUUCGGAGAAGAAAGUGAACUAACUUUUUUGUGUUUAUAUUUUUGUGUUUUCUAACUUUUGAAACAAAAAAAAUCAGAACAAGAAAAGAAAUGAUUUCUUUUGAAAUCG